AGACUCCUACGGGAGGCAGCAGUGGGGAAUAUUGGACAAUGGGGGCAACCCUGAUCCAGCAAUACCGCGUGUGUGAAGAAGGCCUGCGGGUUGUAAAGCACUUUCAGUAGAGAAGAAAAACCUUAGGGCUAAUAGUCCUGAGGCUUGACGUAACCUACAGAAGAAGCACCGGCUAACUCCGUGCCAGCAGCCGCGGUAAUACGGGGGGUGCAAGCGUUAAUCGGAAUUACUGGGCGUAAAGCGCGCGUAGGCGGUCUGGUCAGUCGGAUGUGAAAUCCCCGGGCUCAACCUGGGAAUUGCAUUCGAUACUGCCAAACUAGAAUGUUGGAGAGGGAAGUGGAAUUUCCGGUGUAGCGGUGAAAUGCGUAGAUAUCGGAAGGAACACCAGUGGCGAAGGCGGCUUCCUGGCCAAACAUUGACGCUAAGGUGCGAAAGCGUGGGGGAGCGAACAGGAUUAGAUACCCUGGUAGUCCACGCCGUAAACGAUGAGAACUAGAUGUUGGGAGGAUUUUGCCUCUCAGUGUCGCAGCUAACGCAUUAAGUUCUCCGCCUGGGGAGUACGGCCGCAAGGCUAAAACUCAAAGGAAUUGACGGGGACCCGCACAAGCGG
rnacentral:rRNA from 1 species